GACGAACGCUGGCGGCGUGCUUAACACAUGCAAGUCGAACGGAAAGGCCCUGCUUUUGUGGGGUGCUCGAUUGGCGAACGGGUGAGUAACACGUGAGUAACCUGCCCUUGACUUUGGGAUAACUUCAGGAAACUGGGGCUAAUACCGGAUAGGAGCUUCUGCUCCAUGGUGGGGGUUGGAAAGUUUCGGCGGUUGGGGAUGGACUCGCGGGUUAUCAGCUUGUUGGUGGGGUAGUGGCUUACCAAGGCUUUGACGGGUAGCCGGCCUGAGAGGGUUACCGGCCACAUUGGGACUGAGAUAGGGACCAGAAUCCUACGGGAGGCAGCGGUGGGGAAUAUUACACAAUGGGCGGAAGCCAGAUGCAGCAACGCCGCGUGCGGGAUGACGGCUUUCGGGUUGUAAACAGCUUUGGCCUGUGCCGAAGCGUGCGUGACGGUAAUGAGUAAAGAAGCACCGGCUAACUACGUG
rnacentral:rRNA from 1 species